rnacentral:rRNA from 1 species
GAUGAACGCUGGCGGCGUGCCUAAUACAUGCAAGUCGAGCGAACGGACGAGAAGCUUGCUUCUCUGAUGUUAGCGGCGGACGGGUGAGUAACACGUGGAUAACCUACCUAUAAGACUGGGAUAACUUCGGGAAACCGGAGCUAAUACCGGAUAAUAUUUUGAACCGCAUGGUUCAAAAGUGAAAGACGGUCCUGCUGUCACUUAUAGAUGGAUCCGCGCUGCUUUAGCUAGUUGGUAAGGUAACGGCUUACCAAGGCAACGAUGCAUAGCCGACGUGAGAGGGUGGUCGGCCACACUGGAACUGAGACACGGUCCAGGCUCCUACGGGAGGCAGCAGUAGGGAAUCUUCCGCAAUGGGCGAAAGCCUGACGGAGCAACGCCGCGUGAGUGAUGAAGGUCUUCGGAUCGUAAAACUCUGUUAUUAGGGAAGAACAUAUGUGUAAGUAACUGUGCACAUCUUGACGGUACCUAAUCAGAAAGCCACGGCUAACUACGUG